rnacentral:ncRNA from 15 species
CUAUCAUCCAGAAAGGUGGAGGGACUGGCCCAAAGAAGCCUUGGCAACCGUUAUUGUACUGCAAUAAUAGGUGCCAAUUCCAUCCUUAACAUGGUAACUACCUGUUAAGGAACGAUGAUGG